rnacentral:rRNA from 1 species
CAUGGCGUGUCGGUCAGCGUCGUGUCGUGAGAUGUUGGGUUAAGUCCCGCCAACGAGCGCAACCCCUGCUGCCAGUUGCCAACGGGUGAAGCCGGGCACUCUGGCGGGACUGCCAUCGACAAGAUGGAGGAAGGUGGGGAUGACGUCAAGUCAUCAUGGCCCUUAUGUCCAGGGCGACACACGUGCUACAAUGGCCGGCACAGCGGGAAGCGAGGCAGUGAUGCCGAGCGGAUCCCUUAAAGCCGGUCUCAGUUCGGAUUGAAGUCUGCAACUCGACUUCAUGAAGCUGGAAUCGCUAGUAAUCGCAGAUCAGCCAAGCUGCGGUGAAUACGUUCCCGGGCCUU